rnacentral:rRNA from 1 species
UACGUAGGGUGCGAGCGUUAAUCGGAAUUACUGGGCGUAAAGCGUGCGCAGGCGGUUUUGUAAGACAGGUGUGAAAUCCCCGGGCUCAACCUGGGAAUGGCAUUUGGGACUGCAAGGCUGGAGUGCGGCAGAGGAGACUGGAAUUCCUGGUGUAGCAGUGAAAUGCGUAGAUAUCAGGAGGAACACCGAUGGCGAAGGCAGGUCUCUGGGCUGACACUGACGCUCAUGCACGAAAGCGUGGGGAGCAAACAGG